rnacentral:rRNA from 1 species
GAGUUUGAUCCUGGCUCAGAUUGAACGCUGGCGGCAGGCUUAACACAUGCAAGUCGAACGGUAACAUGAGUGCUUGCACUUGAUGACGAGUGGCGGACGGGUGAGUAAUGUAUGGGGAUCUGCCGAAUGGAGGGGGACAACAGUUGGAAACGACUGCUAAUACCGCAUAAUGUUGAGAAACCAAAGCAUGGGACCUUCGGGCCAUGCGCCAUUUGAUGAACCCAUAUGGGAUUAGCUAGUUGGUAGGGUAAAGGCUUACCAAGGCGACGAUCUCUAGCUGGUCUGAGAGGAUGACCAGCCACACUGGAACUGAGACACGGUCCAGACUCCUACGGGAGGCAGCAGUGGGGAAUAUUGCACAAUGGGGGAAACCCUGAUGCAGCCAUGCCGCGUGUAUGAAGAAGGCCUUCGGGUUGUAAAGUACUUUCGGUAAUGAGGAAGGUGGUGUAUCUAAUAGGUGCAUCAAUUGACGUUAAUUACAGAAGAAGCACCGGCUAACUCCGUGCCAGCAGCCGCGGUAAUACGGAGGGUGCGAGCGUUAAUCGGAAUGACUGGGCGUAAAGGGCAUGUAGGCGGAUAAUUAAGUUAGGUGUGAAAGCCCUGGGCUCAACCUAGGAAUUGCACUUAAAACUGGUUAACUAGAGUAUUGUAGAGGAAGGUAGAAUUCCACGUGUAGCGGUGAAAUGCGUAGAGAUGUGGAGGAAUACCGGUGGCGAAGGCGGCCUUCUGGACAGAUACUGACGCUGAGAUGCGAAAGCGUGGGGAGCAAACAGGAUUAGAUACCCUGGUAGUCCACGCUGUAAACGAUGUCGAUUUGGAGUUUGUUGCCUUGAGUGGUGGGCUCCGAAGCUAACGCGAUAAAUCGACCGCCUGGGGAGUACGGCCGCAAGGUUAAAACUCAAAUGAAUUGACGGGGGCCCGCACAAGCGGUGGAGCAUGUGGUUUAAUUCGAUGCAACGCGAAGAACCUUACCUGGUCUUGACAUCCACAGAAUCUUGCAGAGAUGCGAGAGUGCCUUCGGGAACUGUGAGACAGGUGCUGCAUGGCUGUCGUCAGCUCGUGUUGUGAAAUGUUGGGUUAAGUCCCGCAACGAGCGCAACCCUUAUCCUUUGUUGCCAGCGAUUAGGUCGGGAACUCAAAGGAGACUGCCGUUGAUAAAACGGAGGAAGGUGGGGACGACGUCAAGUCAUCAUGGCCCUUACGACCAGGGCUACACACGUGCUACAAUGGCGUAUACAAAGGGAGGCGA